GGGAGUGCCCGGCCCUGCGCCUGCGCACAGUACAACACUCGCCGUCCCCUCCCCUUCCUAAGGCUCUUCCUACCGCUGGGCUAUAGAUGGAAUCCUUGCCCCCUAUCAGCUCCUCCCAUUGACGAGGCCUGAGCACAUACCUGUCCCUGCAGCGCCACCUAUGGGCUGCAGGAAUACAGCGGGUUCUUCUGGAGCGGAGGCUUUGGGUCCACACUCUUCCAUUCAAGAUAUUUGGCUACCUCUCCAGCUGUCGAAGAAGAAGAAAAGCAAGUCAGCUGUAUACUCAGCUAUUACUCAAUGAUCAGGUCAAGGCUGAAGACAGAAUUCCGUGGCACCACAGACUCUGGGCUGAUACUGAUUCAAAAUUAGCAUCUGUCUUUGUGAUCUCUGGGCCACAUUCCUCCAUCUUGUUCACAAGAGCUUAUUCUGUACCCAGUGGCAGCUAAAAAAAAAAAAAAAAAAAAAAAAUGAAGUUGCCUGGCUGACAACUGCUGGGUUAGCUGCGCCAAGGAAAGAAGAGGUGGUAUCCUUGGAAGAAGGCAGCCCUUUCCCACCUCCUGGACCUCUAAAUGUAAACAUAUAUCUUAUUUUCUUUUUGGACUUGGAGGUCACUCUCUUGAGAUAAGCAAAAAGAGAUCCUCAUUUGUUUGCCAAGCUCAUGACUCCUUCUGAAUUCUUGUAAAUGACAACUUUGUUUAUUAACAGAAUAAUGUAUUUGAGAGUUAAAGUCUCAUUUUAUCCAACUUUCUGAUUUUGCAGAUUAGGAAAGAGAUCCAGAGACAUUAAUAGAUUUCCCUAAUAACAAUAACAUUAUUUUAUAUCACAUAGCUCAAAAGUACUAUUGCCUCCAUUUUACCAAAGAGGAAAGGGAUGAUCAGAGAGAUGAGGUGACUGGUCCAGGGCAGCACAGAGGGUUGGUAACAGAGGCUGGACUUUAAGCCAAGUCUCCUGAUUCCCUCUGUGAUGCUCUUUGAUGGACACCAUGCAGCCUCUGGGCACGGGAGGGGACUUUGGAAAUAGCUAGGUCUGCUGUCCAGAGCCCUGCUUUAUUUUCCUGUUUAUACUUGGUGAUCCAGAACACUACUAAAAAAGUAUAUGCAUUAAAAAAGUUAAAUUGCAUUUAUUUGUUCUUUAUUGGUAAAGCACAUGGUAUAAAAUUCAAAGGGCACAAAAGGGCAUACGGUGAAAAAAGGUCUCCCUCAUGCGCCUGUCCCCCAGCCAUCUAGUUUCCCUCCCCAAUCUCAUUUGUGUCCAUCAGAUAUGUGCUAUGCCUGGAUAAGCAAAUAUAUAUAUGUGUAAACAUUAAUUAUAUAUAUAAUUUUUACAGAAAAUGGAAUUAUAUUCUACCCUACUCUCCACCUUGCAUUUUAAAAAAUUUGAAGCGGAAGGGCAACAUGCGGGUAGGGGAGUAAGAGGUACAAAUUAUUAGGUAUAAAAUAAGUGACAAGGAUAUAUUGUACAACAUGGGGAAUAUAGCCAAUAUUUUAUAAUAACUAUAA